rnacentral:rRNA from 1 species
ACUCAAAUGAAUUGACGGGGGCCCGCACAAGCGGUGGAGCAUGUGGUUCAAUUCGAAGCAACGCGAAGAACCUUACCAACCUUUGACAUGCCUCGUAUGGUCGCUGGAGACAGCUUCCUUCCCGCAAGGGGCGAGAGCACAGGUGCUGCAUGGCUGUCGUCAGCUCGUGUCGUGAGAUGUUGGGUUAAGUCCCGCAACGAGCGCAACCCUCGCCCUUAGUUGCCAUCAUUUAGUUGGGCACUCUAAGGGGACUGCCGGUGAUAAGCCGCGAGGAAGGUGGGGAUGACGUCAAGUCCUCAUGGCCCUUACAGGUUGGGCUACACACGUGCUACAAUGGCGGUGACAGUGGGAUGCAAUGGAGUAAUCCUGCGCAAAUCUCAAAAAGCCGUCUCAGUUCGGAUUGUGCUCUGCAACUCGAGCACAUGAAGUUGGAAUCGCUAGUAAUCGCAGAUCAGCACGCUGCGGUGAAUACGUUCCCGGGCCUUGUACACACCGCCCGU